rnacentral:rRNA from 1 species
UCUGGUGGCGAUAGCGAAGAAGUCACACCCGUUCCCAUACCGAACACGGAAGUUAAGCUCUUUAGCGCCAAUGGUAGUUGGGACUUUGUCCCUGUGAGAGUAGGACAUCGCUAGGC